rnacentral:rRNA from 1 species
GACGAACGCUGGCGGCGUGCUUAACACAUGCAAGUCGAACGGAAAGGCCCUGCUUUGGUGGGGUGCUCGAGUUGCGAACGGGUGAGUAACACGUGAGUAACCUGCCCUUGACUUUGGGGUAACUUCAUGAAACUGGGGCUAAUACCGGAUAGGAGCUCCUGCUGCAUGGUGGGGGUUGGAAAGUUUCGGCGGUUGGUGAUGGACUCGCGGCUUAUCAGCUUGUUGGUUGGGUAGUGGAUUACCAAGGCUUGGACGGGUAGCCGACCUGGGCGGGUAACCGGCCACAUCAGGACUGAGCUGCGACACAGCCUCCUCCGGGAGGCAGCGGUGGAGUAUAUUGCACAAUGCGCGGAAGCAUGAUGCAGCACCGCAGCGUGCGGGAUGAGAGCAUUCGGGUUGUAAACCGCUUUCGCCUGUGACGAGACGUGAAUGACGGUAAUGGGUAAAGAAGCACCGGCUAACUACGUG